rnacentral:rRNA from 1 species
AUACGGAGGAUCCGAGCGUUAUCCGGAUUUAUUGGGUUUAAAGGGAGCGUAGGCGGACGCUUAAGUCAGUUGUGAAAGUUUGCGGCUCAACCGUAAAAUUGCAGUUGAUACUGGGUGUCUUGAGUACAGUAGAGGCAGGCGGAAUUCGUGGUGUAGCGGGGAAAUGCUUAGAUAUCACGAAGAACUCCGAUUGCGAAGGCAGCUUGCUGGACUGUAACUGACGCUGAUGCUCGAAAGUGUGGUUAUCAAACAGGAUUAGAUACCCUGGUAGUCCACACAGUAAACGAUGAAUACUCGCUGUUUGCGAUAUACAGUAAGCGGCCAAGCGAAAGCGUUAAGUAUUCCACCUGGGGAGUACGCCGGCAACGGUGAAACUCAAAUGAAUUGGCGGGG